GACGAACGCUGGCGGCGUGCUUAACACAUGCAAGUCGUACGGUAAGGCCCUUUCGGGGGUACACGAGUGGCGAACGGGUGCGUAACACGUGAGUAACCUGCCCACAACUUUGGGAUAACGCUAGGAAACUGGUGCUAAUACUGGAUAUGUGCUCCUGCUGCAUGGUGGGGGUUGGAAAGCUCCGGCGGUUGUGGAUGGACUCGCGGCCUAUCAGCUUGUUGGUGGGGUAGUGGCCUACCAAGGCGGCGACGGGUAGCCGGCCUGAGAGGGUGACCGGCCACAUUGGGACUGAGAUACGGCCCAGACUCCGACGGGAGGCAGCAGUGGGGAAGAUUGCACAAUGGGCGCAAGCCUGAUGCAGCAACGCCGCGUGCGGGAUGACGGCCUUCGGGUUGUAAACCGCGUUCAGCAGGGACGAAGCUUUUUGUGACGGUACCUGCAGAAGAAGCACCGGCUAACUACGUG
rnacentral:rRNA from 1 species